rnacentral:rRNA from 1 species
AGUUGGUUUUAACCGGCUGGCGUCAGUGGGCUGGCGAGUUUACUUUGAACAAAUCAGAGUGCUUCAAACAGGCGUCUCGCCUGAAUGUUCGUGCAUGGAAUAAUAGAAGAGGAUCACGGUCCGAUUUUAUUGGUUUUGCUGACCGAGAUAAUGGUUAACAGAGACAAACGGGGCCAUUCGUAUUGCUACGUGAGAGGUGAAAUUCUUGGACCGUAGCAAGACGGACUACAGCGAAAGCAUUUGGCAAGAAUGUCUUCAUUAAUCAAGAACGAAAGUCAGAGGUUCGAAGGCGAUCAGAUACCGCCCUAGUUCUGACCGUAAACGAUGCCAACUAGCGAUCCGCCGGCGGAUUCAUUCGCCCUGGUGGGGAGCUUCCCGGAAACGAAAGUCUUCCGGUUCCGGGGGAAGUAUGGUUGCAAAGCUGAAACUUAAAGGAAUUGACGGAAGGGCACCACCAGGAGUGGAGCCUGCGGCUUAAUUUGACUCAACACGGGGAAACUCACCCGGCCCGGACACCGUAAGGAUUGACAGAUUGAUAGCUUUUUCAUGAUUCGGUGGAUGGUGGUGCAUGGCCGUUCUUAGUUCGUGGAGCGAUUUGUCUGGUUUAUUCCGAUAACGAGCGAGACUCUGGCCUACUAAAUAGUUGGCACAUUGCCACUGUGUGCCCAACUUCUUAGAGGGAUUUUCGGUGUUCAGCCGCACGAAAUUGAGCAAUAACAGGUCUGUGAUGCCCUUAGAUGUCCGGGGCUGCACGCGCGCUACACUGGCAAAAUCAGCGUGCUUGUCCUCCCCCGAAAGGGGUUGGUAAACCGAUGAAAAUUUGCCGUGAUUGGGAUCGGACAUUGCAAUUAUUGUCCGUGAACGAGGAAUCCCUUGUAAGGGCGAGUCAUCAACUCGUCCUGAAUACGUCCCUGCCCUUUGUACACACCGCCCGUCGCUGCCCGGGACUGAGCCAUUUCGAGAAAACCGGGGAUUGUUGGCCUGACGGCUCUCGGGUCGUCUAGCCGAUGAGAACCGGCUUAAUCGCACUGGUUUGAACCGGGCAAAAGUCGUAACAAGGUAGCUGUAGGUGAACCUGCUGCUG